AAACGAAAUGGUCUAGAGAAGGUCUUCUAGAAUAUAUAGGAAAACAUGACUCCUCGGAGCUGAAGAUAUAUGAUUUUGAUAGCAUAUUAAUCGCCACAGACAACUUCAGCAUCAAAAACAAACUCACGCAAGGAGGCUUUGGCCCAGUUUAUAAGGGAAUGCUACCGGAAGGGAAGGAAAUAGCAGUAAAAAGACUAUCUAGUAGCUCAAGACAAGGUGUUGAGGAGUUCAAGAAUGAGAUGUUGUUGAUUUCCGAGCUUCAACACAAAAAUCUUGUUAGGAUCAUGUGUUGUUGUGUAAAGGAGGAUGAGAAGUUACUUAUUUACGAGUUCAUGCCAAACCAAAGCUUGGAUACUUUUCUAUUUGGGUGUAGCUAGAGGGCUUCUUUAUCUCCAUCACGAUUCCUAUUUGAAGAUAAUACACAGAGAUUUGAAAGUCAGCAAUAUUCUCUUGGUUGAGAAAAUGAAUCCAAAAAUUUCAGAUUUUGGAUUGACACACAUAGUUGAAGGAACACAAAUUCUAGAAAAUAUUUAGAGGGUGGUGGGAACACGUGGCUAUAUAUCUCCAGAGUAUGCCAUGGGCGGAAUAUUUUCUGAAAAAUCUGAUGUCUACGGUUUUAGGGUUUUGGUAUUGGAGAUUAUUAGCAGCAAGAAGACUACCGACUUUUAUUUAUAUGACCAACAGCUAGGCUUUCUAGCCUAUGCAUGGAAGUUGUGGAAGGAAGACAAAGGAUUGGAGUUAGUAGAUGAAAUACUGGGUGAUUCAUAUUCCCCAUCAGAAGUAAUGAAAUGUGUGCAUAUUGGGCUUCUUUGUGUACAAGACAAUGCUACGGAUAGGUCUACCAUGACAGAUAUAGCGUUGAUGCUAAGUAGUGAAAUUGAUGGUCCACAACCUAAGGAUCCUUUGUUCACUAUCCCGAAUUCAGUUUCUUAUCCUAAUUAAACCACAAUAUGAAAAUAUUGAUUCCUCCAAAAAUGAAGCUAGCAUUACAGUGAUUGAAGGGCGAUAAGUGAUAUAUAGUAAAUAACCCCAUUCUCUUGGGCUAUGUAGUAUAUAAAUGUUUUCCCCAAAAUAUAUAGACACCAACCUGGACCAUCCAUUGAAUACUUUUAGAGUUUGUAUUGAAAUGUUCCUUUACUUCUUUUCCGUAGUUACCUCGAUCAAGAAGGCUUCUUGCAUUUAACUCUAUCUCACAUAAAGUAAUUCCACAAAAAUCUACACCUUAUCGUGAUAGUCUUACAUU